UACGAGGGGGGGCAAGCGUUGUUCGGAAUUAUUGGGCGUAAAGGGCGCGUAGGCGGUGCGGUAAGUCUGAUGUGAAAUCUCCGGGCUCAACUCGGAGUCUGCAUCAGAAACUGCCGUGCUUGAGUGUGGGAGAGGUGAGUGGAAUUCCUGGUGUAGCGGUGAAAUGCGCAGAUAUCAGGAGGAACACCAAUGGCGAAGGCAGCUCGCUGGGACGGUACUGACGCUGAGACGCGAAAGCGUGGGGAGCAAACAGG
rnacentral:rRNA from 1 species